CAAAUUAUUGCGUGUGUAUAUGUAAUUAUAUUUAAUUAUUAAUAAAUUUUAAUUGUUUAACUAAAAAGUAAUUGACAUUUAGUGGGUGAAAUUUAAAAAAUAUAAAUAAUAAUAAUAAAAACAUAAAAUGUUUAUAUGCUUGACGUAAAAAUGCGUAAUUUAAAUUUAAAGUCACGUAAAUAUUACCAAUGGUUAUUUAUAUUACUGAUAAUAAUAGAUCUAGCAGCUGGAGAUGACAUAAAGCCAGGACUAAAUGUCACAAUUACAACAGCGGCGUCAGCGACGACGUCAUCAUCACCGACUGCUACAACUGCGGACUUGGAACCGUUGAAAAAAAUUUUAAGUACCAAUGUGACAGAUAGUGUCAGUAAAAAUGAUAAAGUCAAUGUCAGUGUGACAGGUGAUAAAGAUGUCCAGGUCCAGUCAUCAACGAGUACCAUGACGCCGACAGUUACCUUGCGGUCUACUGAAGCUAAAACUGAUCAUACGGCAGCAGUAAACGUGACAACACCAUCAGCUGGGUCUGGAGGAAUCAACAUCACGAACGAGACCAGCACAACACCCAAGAUCGACGUGGUGCCAUUGAAUAUAACAAAUAUCACAUCAACGACAGCAGCAACAUCUACUGAAGCAGUUCUACCAGCGAAAGAGUCUGCAGAAGAUGAACACAACAGCUCAAUGUCAAUCUUCUUCGUGCUGUGUGUCCUAGCACUCGGUAUUCUUCUAAUUCACUUGAUGUUACAGACAAACUUCCAGUACCUGCCCGAGUCAGUGGUGAUAGUCUUCCUCGGAGCCGCUAUCGGCAUGUUUAUAAACUUCAUGUCGCACAAGGACAUCGCCAAUUGGAAAAAAGAAGAAGCAUUUUCCCCAACGGCAUUUUUUCUCGUUCUUUUACCGCCGAUUAUUUUUGAAUCCGGUUACAAUUUGCACAAAGGUAACUUCUUUCAAAACAUCGGUAGUAUCCUCGUGUUUGCAAUAUUUGGGACCGCGAUAUCUGCGUUUGUAAUUGGAGCUGGUAUUUAUUUGCUGGGAUUAGCUCAAGUUGCCUACAAGCUGAGCUUCGUCGAGAGUUUCGCUUUUGGGUCAUUGAUAUCUGCAGUUGAUCCAGUAGCAACGGUUGCUAUUUUUCAUGCACUGGACGUUGAUCCAGUUCUCAACAUGUUGGUCUUUGGAGAGUCGAUUUUAAACGACGCAAUUGCUAUUGUCCUGACGACAUCAGUACUGGAGUCAAAUAACGGAGCGACAACUGGCGAAUCAAUUGUUCUUGGAUUAAACAGAUUCUGCUUGAUGUUCUUCGCAUCUGCUGGAAUUGGAGUUGUCUUUGCGCUGAUAAGUGCGCUGCUGCUUAAACACGUCGACCUACGAAAGAAUCCAUCACUGGAAUUUGGUAUCAUGCUGGUGUUUACCUACGCCCCGUAUGUUCUAGCAGAAGGCAUACAGUUGUCGGGUAUCAUGGCUAUUUUGUUCAACGGCAUCGUCAUGUCGCACUACACUCAUUUUAAUCUGUCGACUGUCACGCAAAUAACGAUGCAGCAAACCAUGAGAACACUGGCGUUCAUCGCCGAGACUUGUGUGUUCGCGUACCUGGGACUCGCGUUAUUCAGUUUCCGGCACCGCGUCGAACCGGCUCUGGUCACCUGGUCACUAAUUUUGUGCCUCAUCGGCCGGGCUGCUAACAUAUUUCCGCUUGCCUUGCUAGUCAAUCGGUUCAGAGAGCAUCAAAUCACCAAGAAGAUGAUGUUCAUCAUGUGGUUCAGUGGACUACGUGGCGCUAUUUCUUACGCGCUUUCUCUUCAUUUGAAUUUCAGUGACGAAACUCGUCACGUUAUCAUCACAACGACGCUUAUUAUUGUUUUAUUCACGACAUUAAUUUUUGGCGGGUCCACGAUGCCGCUUUUGAAAUUUCUACGAGCGGAAAAAAAACCGAACACUGGAAGUAUUGGCGGUGGGAGAAGAAAAAAACGUGAUAAAGAAAUUUCAUUGAGUAAAACAAGAGAAUGGGGACAAACAAUCGACUCGGAGCAUCUAUCAGAAUUAACAGAAGAAGAGAUGGACGUCUCGUUCCGACAAUCAAGGAUCGGUGGAUUCGCACGCUGGGAUUUGAAAUUAUUCAUCCCGUUCUUCACCCGAAGAUUCACGCAGCAGGAACUCAAGGACUGCAAGUCGCAGAUGACGGACUUGACGAACCAGUGGUACCAGGCGAUAAGAAUAAGCCCCGUCGAGUCCGACGAGGACGACGAAACAACAGCGUCGACUGCACAGUUGCACAACUUGAGCUCGGGGACUAAAUCAGACGGGAAUGCCAGGAGUGAAAGCCAAUGUAUUACCGCGGGAAAAAAAGGACGUCAAAACCGACACGGGUCUAUAUUGAGUAUUUAAAUGAAUAUAUCAAGGGUGUGCCAAGUUUUGAAAGCUAUUGUGAUGCUUACUAAAUUACGAGGAUUUGUCAGAGUAACUGAUUGUCAAUCAGGAAAAAAGUUUUAAUUAUCGCACUGUAAUAAAUCAAUAAGAUAAUUUUAUUUAAUGAUAUCAAAAUAUUUUUGCUAAUUAUUAUUGUAAAUAAUGAUAAAUUGAAAGUCAUUUUUAUUUAUACAUUAUACGGCAGGCCGUCUACACAUUCAUCAAUAUUUAAUAGCGUCCAUAAUAUGUGAUCAAUAUAAUUACUUUUAUUAUAAUUAUUAUCGUUUAUUUAUAAACAACGUGCAGUUUUACUGCGUGCAAUCCGUCACCAAAUGGGGCGCGGCUUUAAAAUCAAAUUUAAAAUUUUAAAAAUCAAAAGCGCGCGAAAAAAAAAUUAAUUAGAACCGUCACUUAAAAAUUAAUUAGCAUGAAAUUUCUCAAAAAUAUGAAAGUACUAAAAUAAAUAAAAAAAAAUUUUGAAUUUUUUACUCUGAUUUUAAAAGCGCGCCUCAGAAUAAAAUAAAAAUGCACAAUUAAAUUAAUUGUUUAGUUAAUUAAAUUAGUAGAUUUGUAGACUGAACGGCCUCAGGUUUUAAUUAUAAAAGAUAAUUAUUAUUUAUAUUUAAUUAAUUAAAUUUUAUUUUUUAUUUACGUACAAAAAAAAGGAUUUAAUAAAUAAUUUAUAAUUAUCACUAACAUUUAAACAAAACUAACAUUGUAUAUUGACAAUAAAGUCAUUUAUAUU